AGUGAACGCUGGCGGUAGGCCUAACACAUGCAAGUCGAACGGCAGCACAGUAAGAGCUUGCUCUUACGGGUGGCGAGUGGCGGACGGGUGAGGAAUACAUCGGAAUCUACUUUUUCGUGGGGGAUAACGUAGGGAAACUUACGCUAAUACCGCAUACGACCUACGGGUGAAAGCAGGGGAUCUUCGGACCUUGCGCGAUUGAAUGAGCCGAUGUCGGAUUAGCUAGUUGGCGGGGUAAAGGCCCACCAAGGCGACGAUCCGUAGCUGGUCUGAGAGGAUGAUCAGCCACACUGGAACUGAGACACGGUCCAGACUCCGACGGGAGGCAGCAGUGGGGAAUAUUGGACAAUGGGCGCAAGCCUGAUCCAGCCAUACCGCGUGGGUGAAGAAGGCCUUCGGGUUGUAAAGCCCUUUUGUUGGGAAAGAAAAGCAGCAGGUUAAUACCCCGCUGUUCUGACGGUACCCAAAGAAUAAUCACCGGCUAACUUCGUG
rnacentral:rRNA from 1 species